AGGCAACCCUUUUGUGACUUUAAUAACGAAAGAGGUGUUAAACUGCUCGUAAAUUAAGUUCUUUUGCUUUUCAGACUUGCUGAGGUUACAGUGAAGCUGGUCCUAGUAAGCUUUAGUAUCAUU